rnacentral:rRNA from 1 species
UAGGGAAUAUUGGUCAAUGGGUGAGAGCCUGAACCAGCCAUGCCGCGUGCAGGAAGACGGCCUUACGGGUUGUAAACUGCUUUUUACCGGGAAGAAAGAGGUCCUGCGGGACAAGUUGACUGUACCGGUAGAAUAAGCACCGGCUAACUCCGUGCCAGCAGCCGCGGUAAUACGGAGGGUGCAAGCGUUGUCCGGAUUUAUUGGGUUUAAAGGGUACGUAGGCGGGUUAGUAAGUCAGUGGUAAAAUUUACCGGCUCAACCGGUAGUGGGCCAUUGAAACUGUUAGUCUUGAGUGUGGUAGAGGUAGGCGGAAUUUAUGGUGUAGCGGUGAAAUGCAUAGAUACCAUAAAGAACACCGAUAGGUAAGCCAGCUUACUGGACCGCAACUGACGCUGAGGUACGAAAGCAUGGGGAGCAAACAGGAUUAGAUACCCGUGUAGUCC